rnacentral:rRNA from 1 species
CGGACGUUUCGCGCUCGGACCCGCGGUGUCCCGGCCGACAGGCUCGACGGUAUACAGAUGGCGCGGGGCCGCUCUUUUCAGUUAGCGUUCGGCCCGCGGCAAGCGCGCUCGUUGAUCAGAUGGCGAUCGGACCUGGUGCCGGUCCCGUCCGCGAGCGACUGUUGGCUGCGGUGUUCUCGAACAGACCCCGUUUACGAAACGCCGAUCUGCGACGCUAUAGCUUUGGGUACUUUCAGGACCCGUCUUGAAACACGGACCAAGGAGUCUAGCAUGUGCGCGAGUCAUUGGGACAUUUCUAAACCUAAAGGCGUAAUGAAAGUGAAGGUCCGCCCUGCGCGGACCGAGGGAGGACGGGCGGUUAUGUCUCGCACUGCCGCUCCGCACUCCCGGGGCGUCUCGUUCUCAUCGCGAGAAGAGGCGCACCAAGAGCGUACACGYUGGGACCCGAAAGAUGGUGAACUAUGCCUGGUCAGGACGAAGUCAGGGGAA